UACGUAGGGUGCGAGCGUUGUCCGGAAUUAUUGGGCGUAAAGGGCUCGUAGGCGGUCUGUCGCGUCGGGAGUGAAAACUCAGGGCUUAACCCUGAGCCUGCUUCCGAUACGGGCAGACUAGAGGUAUGCAGGGGAGAACGGAAUUCUUGGUGUAGCGGUGGAAUGCGUAGAUAUCAAGAGGAACACCUGAGGUGAAGACGGGUUGCUGGGCUGACACUGACGCUGAGGCGCGAAAGCCAGGGGAGCAAACGGG
rnacentral:rRNA from 1 species